CAAGGGGCGGGUGUAGCAGGCAAUCUUGGCGAAACUGGGAAGGGCGGGCAGGAGGGCAGGGAAGCCGCUCACCCAGGCACAAAGCGCCUCCCGCUUGAGCGGACUCCAAAGGGACGGUCCGCGGUGUGCAGCGAGCUGCGCUCAGGGGACCUUGCGCCCGGCCCUUCUGCUGCACACAGCCCACCCAGGACCUCCCGCAGCGCUGACAGGCGGGGCGGGUGCAAAGACGGGGCGGGGUCUCUGCGCCCGGCCCCCUCCCCUGACUAUCAAAGCAGCGGCCGGCUGUUGGGGUCCACCACGCCUUCCACCUGCCCCACUGCUUCUUCGCUUCUCUCUUGGAAAGUCCAGUCUCUCCUCGGCUUGCAAUGGACCCCAACUGCUCCUGCGCCGCUGGUGUCUCCUGCACCUGCGCUGGUUCCUGCAAGUGCAAAGAGUGCAAAUGCACCUCCUGCAAGAAGAGCUGCUGCUCCUGCUGCCCCGUGGGCUGUAGCAAGUGUGCCCAGGGCUGUGUUUGCAAAGGGGCGUCAGAGAAGUGCAGCUGCUGCGACUGAUGCCAGGACAACCUUUCUCCCAGAUGUAAACAGAGAGACAUGUACAAACCUGGAUUUUUUUUUUAUACCACCUUGACCCAUUUGCUACAUUCCUUUUCCUGUGAAAUAUGUGAGUGAUAAUUAAACACUUUAGACCUGA
rnacentral:lncRNA from 10 species